ensembl:lncRNA
AUGUUGUAUCAGAAAUGCCUACAGCAUAGUUUUUUCUUUAGGUAUUUCCUAGCCUGCCCACAUUCAGAGGAAGAAAUUCUGCUGCACCAUUUUAGAGGCGUGUCUGAAAGACGUGAAGACAGUCACGCAUGGAUGCAAUAUGGGACAUUCCUUAUUCCUUCAGCCCAGACAGCUUUGUUGAGCCUGGUGUCAAGGUGCAUACCUGGAGUUCCUGUCUCUGUGGCGUAUUUCCAAAUCUGUGAGUGCCCAAGGGGUGUGCUUCUUAAAACCCACUCCACGGACAUGCUUGUGAAUGGAAACAGUGUAUUCUCUGGUCCCUACCUUGUCAUUGGCAGGACGGCCCUCUUCCUUCUCCCUAUACUUCUUUCAGGGUACAGGUUGGAAAGGAAGAGCAUGAGGUAUUCCAAAUCCAGAUCAUUUUACUCUAAUGCCCUACCCUUCACUUUUACUUUCCUCCCUAACAUUCCAGUAGAGAGGAACAGAUUGAAGGAGGGGGAAUAACUUAGGAAGUAAAGACCAUCUAAUACCCUAGAGAAUGUAUAUAACACAACCUUCGUUCAGGGCAGUUGGUUGCAUCUGGACCACUGCCCCAGCCAUCCCAAUGUGGAAUCAGAGUUGCCUCUCCCGGGAGUUCCCAUCGUGGCUCAGCAGGUUAUGAACUCGACUAGUAUCCAUGAAGAUGCAGGUUCACUCCCUGGCCUUGCUCAGUGGGUUAAGGAUCCGGCAUUCCCGUGAACUGUAGUGUGGGUCACAGAUGCAGCUCAGAUCCCUCGUUGCUGUGGCUGUGGUAUAGGCUGGCAGCUGUAGCGCCAGUUUGACCCCUGUCCUUGAACUGCUAUAUGCCACGGGUGCAGCCCUAAAAAGCAAAAAAAAAAAAAAAAAGAAAAGAAAAAAUUAAGAAUUUCCACUCCCUUUUUCUCACAUAGCUUUCAAUUAUGCUUCAUCUCCUUAUAUAGUUGACCCUUGAACAACUUGAAUUUGAAAUGCGUAGAUCUACAAGUGGAUUUUUUUCAAUAGUAAAUCCUACAAAAUUACACAAUCCUCAGUUGACUGAAUCCAUGGAUACCAAGCCACAGAUGCCAAACCUCAGAUACAGAGCUCUAAGCUCUACUUGGAUUUUCAACUGCUCAGAGUGUUAAAACCGUCCCAUUUUGUUCAAGGACCAACUAUAUAUUAAGUCAGGUGAUAAACUACACUACCUUUAAUUGAAAUUUUUUUUUCUUUUUAACUAUACCCUUGGUUGAUAUGUAAGGUUUAUAUAAUUUUGGUAUUUGCCUGAAAUAUUAAUGUUGGACAAGGGGCAGGGAGCCCUUGACCAGAAUUCAUAAUGCCAGAUGUGAAGGAAAGCCUAAAGCUAUUUGAAAGGUUUUGGGCUUCUGGGCUAGUGUCCUAUAUUGUGAGGUAUUGGGAAUUCACAUGAGGCAGGUAUGACGUGGCCUUCAAGACAAUCAAAGGAGGUCAAAAUUCUCUCUGAUUGCCUUUCCUAAUAAACUACCCAGCUGACAUAGGAUAUAAGUUACA